rnacentral:rRNA from 1 species
GAUCCUUGCUCAUAAUGAACGCUGGCGGCAUGCCUAACACAUGCAAGUCGAACGAAGGCUUCGGCCUUAGUGGCGCACGGGUGCGUAACGCGUGGGAAUCUGCCCUCAGGUUCGGAAUAACAGCGAGAAAUUGCUGCUAAUACCGGAUGAUAUCGCGAGAUCAAAGAUUUAUCGCCUGAGGAUGAGCCCGCGUAGGAUUAGCUAGUUGGUGUGGUAAAGGCGCACCAAGGCGACGAUCCUUAGCUGGUCUGAGAGGAUGAUCAGCCACACUGGGACUGAGACACGGCCCAGACUCCUACGGGAGGCAGCAGUGGGGAAUAUUGGACAAUGGGCGAAAGCCUGAUCCAGCAAUGCCGCGUGAGUGAUGAAGGCCUUAGGGUUGUAAAGCUCUUUUACCCGGGAUGAUAAUGACAGUACCGGGAGAAUAAGCUCCGGCU